rnacentral:tRNA from 1 species
AGUUAUUUAGCUUAUUAAUUAAAGUUUAUAUUUUGAAAAUAUAAGAAAGAGAAAUUUAAUAACUU